UGCCUGUGAUGAUGACUGUAAUAUGAAUCUCAAGAUACAUUGUUCCGCCUUUGUAAUCUUGGUUUCAAAUGUUUUAUAUUUUGAAACUGUAAAGCCAAAGGUACAUCAAACUCGAAAAGUAGCAUGAGUCCCUCCAAGUAGGUUGAUUCUGCUAAUCUUUAAAAUCAUCAAGACGGGUUGAUGUGGAGAAGAUCCUACACAUUAAUUAUCAAACUGGUGGUACACUUAAAAUUUCAAGUGUAAUAAUGUAUCUUUCAGUGAUAUUUCUUUAGUAAUCUGAGGCAC